rnacentral:rRNA from 1 species
ACCGGCGAACGGCUUAGUAACACGUAGAUACAUACCGCGAAGUGGGGCAUAGCUCGUCGAAAGACGGGGUAAUUUCCCAUAGUCCCGCAAGGGUAAAGGCGCAAGCCGCUUUGUGAAUGGUCUGCGGUCUAUCAGCUAGUUGGUGAGGUAAUGGCUCACCAAGGCUAUGACGGAUAGGGGGCGUGAGAGCGCGACCCCCAAGAAUGGCACUGCGACACGGGCCAUACUCCUACGGGAGGCUGCAGUCGAGAAUCUUCCACAAUGGACGAAAGUCUGAUGGAGCGACAUUUCGUGAUGGAUGAAGCCCUUCGGGGUGUAAACAUCUUUUAUCUGGGAGGAAGCGCAAGCAGACAGUACCAGAUGAAUAAGGGGAUCCUAAUUCUGUGCCAGCAGGAGCGGUAAUACAGAAUCCCCGAGCGUUACCCGGAUUUAUUGGGCGUAAAGGGUUCGUAGGUGGUAGAGUAAGUUGCAAAUUAAACUUCAUCGGCUUAACCUUUGAAC